rnacentral:lncRNA from 1 species
GUGCCAACAGGAGCGGACUCAGGAGCUGCGACUUCACCUGAAAAAGAAAAGCCACAACAAGGCUGAGCUACUAAGCUCAACAAGACUUAACCGACCAGGAGUAAACUACUCCACCACUUCUAGACAUGCAAGGCUCUUUGGCUGGGGUUUUGUUUGCCAAAAGCACUAUGUAUAACCUUAUGAUCAAAGUUUUAGUUCAGAUUCUAAGUUCAUUAACCGGUCUAAGUUGGCAACUUACUCUAAACAAACAUAGAUCCAACCAAGAGGGGUAUAUAAGCAUCAUCAAGACCAUGUCAUCAUCAGAUUUCAUUAUUACUCAGUGUAGCAUAGCGAUCAAGCAGUCUCAAACUGUGAGAGGCAGAUGAAUCGAUUCGAGUUCUUUAACCAUGCAUGGUGAACCUAACCUAACGACAUCCGCGCACCACCGAGGUCGCUUCCUGUGUCGGCCUUCCCCAUCAAUUCCCUAACCCGUGUCGGGCCCAUUUCUUUUGGUGCAAGGUUCCACAGAUCCGGCCUCUGCCGUUCUGUGACCACACUUGCCACCACGUGCGGCCGCAGGGGAACUCCGUUCCAAGGACAAUGGGGCGACCACUCAUGUCUAGGUUCAAUUCGGUACUAGGCUUCCUCAUCCCAUACUGAGUAUGAGGUUAGUACUUUCAAACACUUGAUCACGAAUACCACCACUGUCGAGCCUUAAUAGAUUUCAUAGACAGACGGGGCGAUCAGCCGACCACCAAAAGUUAACCAGAACCCUACCCCGUCCAUCGUCCUUAUAGUUGUGACAGAAGGAGAACAACCAACUCCUACAACUCGCGAGUGACAGGAAAUCACUCGACUUUUACCGCUUCCUAUUUAAGCAUAGCAACUACUCGGUCCAACAGCUAGUGUUCAGAUCAAGGGACUAUGCCAUGCAUCUACGGUUGCAAACAACUUCUAUACGUAAAUGCACAAACAUGAUGAAGAAGGCAUGCGCAAGUUUGGGAAACUGGGGUUCAUGCUCCGGGGCUUGCCUUCAAGCAAGGAGGAAGGGAACUGGUCUUCUGAUGGGGCGGCUUCGGCUUCUGGAAGCGGUAGCUCGGCUACAACUCCGUCUUCUGGCGCCGGGUACAGCUCGUAGACGCCGUCAGCGAGAUUCAACUCUACACGAAAUGCAAAUGCAGGAGUUAGCACUUAGACGGUUAUUUCAACAACAACACCUUCAAGUUAAAGCUCGGACACUGGUAGCAAAGCUACAGAAAAGGUGGGGAAGUGUACUUGGGUUGGUGGAGAGCAAGAUAAAAAGGGUCGGAUGGGAAGAAACUUAUGAUCUGACCCUUAGGCUAGAGGAAUAGUUGUGCUGGGGGUCCUCAGACUUAGCGCAGAGAAGUCCUCAAUUUAUUAUACAUAUACCCUCGGGUCAAGGAAAAGGAUACAACCGAGUCCUCGGGCGAGGCGGAAAAGGGGUCGGACGAACAGAAGGGGUCGGGCGAGACGGAAAAGGGGUCGGACAAACAGAAGGGUCGGGCGAGGCGGAAAAGGGGUCGGUAACCUACCUUUGGUUUAAAGGUGAAGCUCGGGGUCGGGAAGGAGCAGACUUGGGCGGAAGGACUGAAGCACUAAGACUUGGGCAGCGGCGAUGCCCGGCAGUGCUCCGGCGGCGGUGGUGCUUCUUGUGGACAAGAAGCAAGCUCUAGCACAGCGCGGAGGAGCAAGCGGCGGGGUGGAUUGGGAAAGGCGAUGUUGAGCGGAGAGGAGAGUUCCUCAUGAACUUAGGUGGCAGCGCUUGAGCACGAAACAGAGGAACGGCGGUAAGGCAGCGAUGGCGAAGGGGACUCCGGCGGGACUCUGGCAUUCCCUUUUAUAGUUGCGCGGAAGAGAGAGAGUUGGAGCAGCACGAAGACUGGGAAGAAGCGAUGGAGUGCGCUGCCAUGGCGGUGAUUGAGCAGCGGGCCAGCAGAAUAGGACUUCGGGGAUGACACCUUCGGCCAUUGGGCACUGGAGAUAGGGCGGCGCAGGCGCGGUUUUGCCGGUGGUUGAGAUUUGGCGGAGGCGGGCGUCGUCGUGCGGCGGAUCUGAUGGGUGUGACAGGGGAAACGGCGCUAGAAGCGAGGUUGCACAGGGGAGAAGACAGGUGGGCUGCGGCUGCGCGGGCUAGCGCGAAGCAGCGGUCUGUCGGGGCGCAGAUCUGGCAAGGCGGAAAAGGAGCUAUCGCGGCCGGGGUCGGGGUUGGCGGAGGAGGAAUCGUCGCGUAGCGCAUCUGGGGCGGCGCGACUGUGGAGAGACGGCGGAAAAGCCUUGAGGCAUCGGGCCUUGCAGCCGGGGGUUCGGCGAGGUGAUGAUGGGCGCGAGCUGCGAGGCGCUGCAGAAAGGGUAGCAGAGGAGCUUCCGCUGCGAUUGGGGAAGAGGGCGCGGGAAUCCAUCCGGUCGCGGCCGGCGACGGGGCGGAGCGGCAGGGGUCGGAGGAAUUGAGCCACGCGGCGAAGAAGCUCUGAAGCGGGCAUGCCACUCGAGUGCGUCUGCACUAGGAGAUCGGGGAAAGAUUUUGCAGGUCCACCGGUCAGUCUCGGUUGGUCCACUACUCAGAUUGAAGGGAGACACUGUUGGGAAGACUUCGAAGGAUCCGGCGGGGUGAGUUGGGGGUCGGCAGGGGUCGGAGCUUGGAACUGGCAGAGAGGGGUCGGGUUCUCAGGGGUCGGGACCAGGACUGGAGGUUGAGCACUCAACUCGGGGAAGCUGAGAUAGGGGAUCAGGGACUCGGAUUAGAUUAACUCGAAAGAUUUGGGGUCGGUCGUCACACCGACGCACCGACCCGGCCUAGGAGUAGGCAGACUGCUACGUCCGCAGGAUGCCGUCCUUGACCUCGCCAUGAAUGCCACCAAUUCGACAGCCCACGAGCUCUAGGUCGCCAUCAACAACCUCUUCCAGGCAAACAAAGCCCCUCGCGCCAUCUAAUUGAGCCACGAAUUUCAUUCGAUGACUCAAGGAGAUCUCUCCAUCAAUGACUACUGCCACCGCAUGAAGACCGCCGCCAACUCUCUUCGCGACUUUGGCCAUCCAGUCAGCGAGCCUACCCUCAUCCUCAACCUGCUGAGUAUUCCCGUUACGUCUUGAGGUCACUCCAUCCUACCCACUGCAAUGUCUAAUUUUGCUCUCAACAACGUUCUUAUCGUUCCAUCUAUCAUUAGCAAUUUACUUUCAGUUCGCCAAUUUACUCGCGAUAAUCGUUGUUCGAUCGAAUUUGACACCUUGGGUUUCUCUAUUAAGGACAAUUUCUCUGAUAAGGACCUCCAGACGCGACGUGUGAUUCUUCGCUGCGAUGGAGAUCUCUACAUCCUUCCGUCGGUCGCCCCCCGCCACCCACCAUGCCUUGCUUGCUGCGUUGUCUUCCCUAUGGCACCAGUGCCUUGGUCACCCGUGUCCAGUAGUUCUCAAUGCCCUCAAUAAGCAAGACCUCAUUCCAUGUAAUAAAGUAGACAAGCCCCUUUGCCAUUCUUAGCUAGGCAAUCACACAUCUACCUUUUAGUACUUCGGUUUCUCAUACUACUGCACCUUUUGAACUUGUUCAUUGUGAUGUCUGGACCUCUCCCGUUACAAGCAUCUCGGGCUUCUCUUAUUAUUUGGUGAUUUUCGAUGAUUACACGCAUUUUUACUGGACCUUCCCUCUCAGGCGCAAGUCUGAUGUGCAUCAACACAUAGUUGAUUUUAUUUCCUACGCUCAUAAACAAUUCGGUCUUCCAGUGAAGUGUUUUCAGGCUGAUAACGGUACUGAAUUUGUUAACAAUGCCACCACGACGCCCCUGGCCUCCCGUGGCAUCCUGUUGCGCCUUUAUUGCCCUUACACCUCUCCGUAAAAUGUUAAAGCCGAACGUGUGAUUUGUACACUCAACAACUCUGUGCGCAGUCUCCUGCUCCAUGCAUCCAUGCCGCUCUCCUACUGGGCUGAGGGACUCGUUGCUGCCACAUACUUGAUGAAUAGGCACCCAUCUUCCUCGAUUCGUCAUGAGGUCCCUUACACCCAUCUCCACCGUAGCCCUACCUCCUACAGUCACCUGCAUGUUUUUGGGUGUUUAUGUUAUCCUAACCUGCAAGCUACAGCCCCUCACAAGUUCUCGCCUCGCUCAGCGGCCUGCGUAUUUCUCGGGCAUCCCUCUUCACACAAGGGGUACAGGUGCCCCAACCUGACCACUCGGCACAUCAUUAUUUCACAGCACGUCGUCUUCGACGAGUCCCGUUUCCCCUUCGUGACCACCCCCUCCUCUCCACGCACAUCAUCCCUUGAUUUUCUUCUCGAUGAUGAAGUGGAUAUUGUGCCUUGCCCUACUGAAAAGAUCUUGUGAUGCCUAGAGGGGGGGGUGAAUAGGCUCACUUCAAAUUUUUCAAAAAAAACUUCGCAGCGGUAUUAGAUAUGUCGAAACUUCCGACACUAUGCCGAAACUUUUGAUGGGUCGGAACUUCCGACAGUCGAAAGUGAGUUGAAUGAAAUUCAAAAUGAAACCUGAAUUUGCCAUUCUGUUUGAAUCAAAAGAUUAUAAAAGAAGUGUAAGAUAGAUAUGCAAAGAACCACACAAAUUUAUAGAUCGCCUUAAAUCAAGCUUCUAGGUCAAUAUGAACACGAAGAACACAAUAAGCACAAGAGAUAAGGAUUUGUUUACCGAAGUUCACUUCCACAAAGGAAGCUACGUCUCCGUUGAAGAGCUCACAAAGAGCCAGGUCUUCACUAACCAUUUACCUCCCUUAAUCAACCAUAAAGGAGGAUUGAGUCACUUACUAUGAAUCCAUGAAGGAUGGGUAAUACAAACAUUCCCGGGCGCACCACACAAAGAGGGCGCUCAAACGGGCGACGCCUAGCCGUCUAGAAGCAAGCUUCAAGAGUAACAAAUGCGAAUCGAUGGCCGAAGAUGCUUGGAGUGCUCUUGAGAUGAAUUUGUUGGACCUCACACUCAAAUCCUCAAGACUCACACCCUCAACCUUGUUCUCACCCAAUCCCUAGCUCAAACUCUCAAGGAUUUAGCUCAAAGGGGAGUGGGGGAGGAGUAUUCAAUGCUUGGGGGCUAUUUUAGCUCGAGUUGUUCAGCAGCAAUGAAUCGAGGGGGAGGUGCUGAGGGGAUAUUUAUAUCCGAGCCCCCAAAACUAGCUGUUAUAGUAUAUUUAUAUGCCCUUCGUAACUUCCGACACAGGGUCGGAACUUUCGACGAAGUUAAAUUAAAACAACUAAGAGCUUAUCCUUGGAAGUUUCUUGAAACUUCUAGUGGCCUUUAUCAGACCUUCCGAUAUAGUGUCGGAACUUCCAACACUGCCAGAUAAAAACGGCUGAUCAGCCCCAGUCAGAAAUUUUUGAAUACUUCCAUCGGUGUCGGAACUUCCAACCCCCUAUCAGAACUUCCGACACUCACAGAAAAUGUGAGAAAACAUGUGUGCAAGUGAGUGAGUUGUGUCUCUCAAUGGGUGGUUAGCAUCUCAAUUGAACACUUUAGCAUCUUCAAGCUAUCCAUCCACAUCCCCCUUAAUAGUACGGUGUUUCUAUACUCAGAUUUAAAAUUAAAAAUAAUAGAAAAGUCUUCUUUUGAGCUCAACACUGUUCUUUCUUUUAAAUUUGGAGGUUGUUGAGAUUCCUUUCAUAACCUCUGCACUUCUUUAGAAUUAAAACAUGUUAAUCACUUGAUAAAAUUAUUAGUCCCCUAACCAUGCAUGUUAUCAACACCAAAACCCACUUAGGGGGCCAAAUGCACUUUCACCUACUAACCCUGCAACUACUCCACUCUUCGGCUCCGAGCGCUCCGUCAUGGUAGCUCCCUCCUCCAUGGACGUUGAGCAGCCGUCCCUGCCCUCAGCGAAUUCUGGAUCUGGCGGGUAUGGUCUCAUGCCCCCGCCAGGUCUGGCUGCAUCGCCUGCCUCUCCUGCCGGGGCUCAUCAGCACCCGACAGCUCCCUCCACGCCAAGCAGGCAUGGUCCAGUACCCCUAUCAGGCCCUGCUGCUACGGUGACAUGGCAGCUCUCUGCUCGACCGGGUGGACGUGGUCCCGUACCCCCGCCCGGCUCUCCUAUCCAGAACGCCGCCGGGCCCUCUUCGGACACCGACCCUUUUGGUCCGCCGCGCGUGGCCGCACGGGACAUCGGUCCCGCUUGACCUCCUAUCGAUGACCUCGUCCCUCCUCACCGACACUUCUACACCUGUCAUUUGCAUGUCCCUAUGCGCCAUCACAGGCAACCAGCGCCACCGGCUCCAUCUCCACUCCCAGGUGCUCAUCCUCUGCCGGCACCUUCUUAGGUUGCUGUGCCACCGAUGGCCGGUUCCCAUCUGAUGGUCACUCGCUCGAUGACCGGUUCCUUGACGCAGUCGCGUCCAAUGAACCUUAUUGCCACCGGUGCGACGACAUCUCCGAUUCCUGCCAACUAUCGAAGUGCUCUAGCUGAUCCCAGCUGGCGUGCUACCAUGGCUGAAGAGUAUCAGGCACUCAUUGACAACGACACUUGGCAGUUGGUUCCCCGACCUCCAGGAGCUAAUGUGGUGUCCAGCAAAUGGAUUUACAAGCAUAAAUACCACUCCGAUGGUUCCUUGGCUCGUCACAAGGCUCAAUGGGUUGUCCGCGGGUUUUCUCAGCAGCAUGGGAUAGACUACAACGAGACCUUCAGUCCUGUGGUCAAGCCAGCGACCAUCCGCACCAUCCUCAGCGUUGCCGUUUCUCAUUCCUAGCCGAUCCAUCAGCUGGAUGUCAAGAAUGCAUUUCUCCAUGGUCAUUUGAAUGAGAUGGUCUAUUGCCAACAGCCACCUGGGUUUGUCAACACCUCUGUGCCUGAUCAUGUCUGCCUUCUGCGCAAGUCACUGUACGGCCGGAAACAGGCCUCUCGAGCUUGGUACCAACGUUUUGCCACAUACAUCCGACAGUUGGGAUUUGUUUCUUCAUCGUCAGAUUCAUCGUGGUUUGUUUACAAGGAUGGCUCACACAUUGCCAUUCUGUUGUUAUAUGUCGAUGACAUUGUCCUCACUGCUUCGACUCCAUCCCUACUUCAACACAUUAUUGAUCGCCUUCACUUUGAGUUCUCCAUGACUGACCUUGGUGCUCUCCACCACUUCUUGGCGCCUCCAUCAUUCGCUCCUCCGACGGCCUGUUUUUGUCACUCUCUUGCGACACCGGUGAACUCGAAGGCCAAGUUGUCUAUUGUGGAUGGAGCUCCACUUAAGAACGCAUUUGAGUACAGGAGCCUCAUUGGUGCUCUUCAAUAUCUCACACUAACUCGCUCGAAUCUCGCAUAUACUGUUCAGCAAGUUUGCUUAUUCAUGCACAAUCCGAGAGAGCCUCACCUUGCGCUAAUCAAGUGCAUCUUGCACUAUGUAAAGGGACUUUGUUUGUUGGUCUUCAUAUUGGCACCGAAAGGAACUUUGUCUGCUGGUCUUCAUAUUGGCACCGGCUCUGUUGACAAACACUCUGUGAAGGGACUUUGUUUGUUGGUCUUCAUAUUGGCACCGAAAGGGACUUUGUUGGUCUUCAUAUUGGCACCGGUUCAGUUGACAAACUCACAGCCUACUCUGAAGCCGACUGGGCAGGCUGCCCUGACUCUCGCCGCUCCACUUCUGACUACUGCGUCUACCUCAAUGAUAAUAUGGUGUUUUGGUCCUCCAAACAUCAUACCACAGUUUCCCGCUCCAGUGCUGAAGCAGAAUACCGAGCUGUCGCUUAUGCUGUGGCCGAAUGCUACUGGCUCCAGCAGCUUCCACAGGAACUUCACAUCCCUCUAGCUUCAACAACAUUGGUCUACUGUGACAAUGUGAGUGCUGUCUAUAUGACCGCUAACCCCAUCCACCACCGCCGUACGAAGCAUAUUGAGAUCAACAAUCUCGCUCUCAGUGACGUUUGGGUCCUUCAUGUGCCUUGAGCCACUAGUACGCGCAGACAUCAUGAAAAAAGGACAGUUGUUUAUUGAUUUUAGGUUCAAUCUUUGCGUUCGUCAACUCCCGCUGCGACUGCGGGCGGGUGUUAGAAUAUAUAUAUAUAUAUAAUAUAUAUAUAAUAUAUAUAUAGUCAUAUUGUGUUGUACCUAUUUCUUGUGCACCAAGGGGGUGUUUGGAUACGAGGUGCUAAACUUUAGGAGGGUCACAUCGGAUGUUCGGACGCUAAUUAGGAGGACUAAACAUAAGCUAAUUAUAAAACUAACUGCAGAACCCCUGUACUAGUUCGCGAGACGAAUCUAUUAAACCUAAUUAAUCCAUCAUUAACAAAUGGUUACUGUAGCACCACAUUAUCAAAUCAUGAACUAAUUAGGCUUAAUAGAUUCGUCUUGCGAAUUAAACUUUAUCUGUGCAAUUAAUUUUAUAAUUAAACUAUAUUUAAUACUCUUAAUUAGUAUCAAAUAUCCGAUGAGAUACGUAGCAUACACCCGCUGAUGUUUUCCCUCCCUGCUAUCUCUCUACAAGGACGCCGCGCCGCUCCCUCGCCGGACGUUCAUCGCCGCGGGCACCCUCGCUGGGGGGAGGCGCCGCCUCAGCUUGCCCGCCCGCGUUGGACCUCGCGGCCGGCUUGCUGGACCCCGAGGAGUGCUAGGAGGAGGACGAAGACGAGCAGCUGGACGCCUCCCCGCGCCCCCUCCCCUCCGGCGACGCCUCCCCUGCGCGGGCAUCGCCUUCCGCGACUGGCGCCGGCCUCGUGCCUUUAGCCAGGGCUCACGGCCAAGUGCGAGGACGCCCGCGUGGCUCCCUCUUCCCCCUUUCCUUUGGGGCCGCGGGGGGGAGGGUGGAGGAGGGGUGCCGACGACGACCGACGAGGCUCUGCCGCUCUCCUCCCCAUCCAGCCUCGACCGCCGCUCGCCAAGACUCCGCCGUCUGCUUCCUCGCAGGGGGCCACCGCCGCGGGCUCCAUCGCUGGGUAUGCAUGGGGAGGGGGCCCGCGGCCUCCAGCGCCGCUGCUCCCCGCGGUGGGAGCAAGGCGGGUCCGGCCGAGCUGGGUAGUGGCGCGCCUCGUCGAGGUCCCGGAGCUUCGCGCCAGCAGCGGCGCUGCGGAGCUUGAACAGAGCCAAGGCAGCGGCGGCACUGAGAGCUUGCGCUGAGAGGAGAAUGAAGAGGCGAUUCCUGGCUGGUGGCCUCGUAGGCACCAUACGUAUGUGCAGCCCGUGGGCAUCGAUGCUCAGGCCUUCAUGUCCUGUAGGUGUAGGAGGCUGUUGAUGGUUCUGAUUCUUUGAUUUUUGGAGAUGGAGCAACUUGUGUAGUGUUGUAUUUGGCGCAACGCCGCUGCUGAUUGGAGUUAGAAAUCAGAGAGAGCUGCAGGACGCGGUGAAGGCAAGGAUGGCGUGAGAUGCUGUUGCUUCUAGCUUGGUGGGGACGGAAGCAGAGAGGAAGGAGGUAGCUAUUGCUGCUUCAAUCGGAAACAGAGAAGAAGCAGAGAUCCAUAUCGUGAUGGUUCUUGGUUGGCUGCUUGCUGUGUGUCCAUAACAAGAGGAAGGGAAUUAGCUAGUGACGAGCCUGAGGGAGCAGUAGCUCGGAGUGGGUCUAGCUUGACGAGGAGAGGGAGGGAAUGGCAAGGGUAGGAUCGGUGGAUCCAAAUACCCCAGCUGGCUAAAGUUUAGACGGGUGAAUCUAGGAUCGUAACCGAGAGCUCGUGGGAACUCAUGCCAAUCACCUUUAUUUCCGUUGGCAACUUGGAUCUGAGAGGGAAGAAAAAUUCAAAUAUGAGUAUUUUAUUAAGGUCCAAAGGAGUGCCUCGUGCCAAAAGCAAAAUUGAGGUAUUUUGUUUGAAGAUUUCAUGAAGGUGAGUGUGGGGCCAUGUUUUCCACGGCAAAUUCUUUUAUUUACUUACCAAAUUUUUCUCCAAAUUUGCUUGCACGCAAGCCAGUCAGUGAUUCAUUGGUUCUGUCCUGCCGGCCCAUUCAUCCUGUUCCCGUUUGACCAGCCGGCUAAUGGGACCCGUUCCAUUUCCUCCGCGGUGCUCUCGCCGACGCCCGCAACGUGUAACGCGCCCGCGGUGACGGAGCCGUGAGCCAUCCGUAACGGCUCCGUGGGUCGCGCCCGCCCGCCCGCCCCAUUAACCCGCGCCACCCCGGGGGGUAACGUCGUCACCCUAACGCCGCCGCCGUGGCCGGGAGCGGAGCCCGCGGCGUAACCCUAACGCCGCCACGCGCGGCCAUCCAUGGCCUCCUGCGACGACGACUUCGGCCUCCUCGGUGACGACGCCCACCAGCCGGCAGCUCCCCCGCCCCAGGCCCCCACCACCGCCCAGCAGCCCGCGCCGCCGCCGCAGCCUGCCCAGGCCUUCUGCUUCGCGGACGCGGCCGUGGCGCCGGGCGCCGGCGCCGGCGCCGGCUCCUUCGCGCAGGUCCCGGAGGAGAGCAACCACCACGCCGAGCGCGGCAAGGCCGCGCACCACGCCAAGCGGACCAGGGAGCGCGCCGACGAGUUCAGCAGCGAUGGGGGCGAGUACUGCUCCUACAUCAACAGCGGCGGCAGCGGCGGCGGGGGGAAGAAGGGCCGCGGCGGAGGGAGCUCGGGCGCGUCGGACUACCGUAAGGAUCGGGAGGAGUGGACGGACGGCGCCAUCAGCAGCCUCCUCGACGCCUACACGGACCGAUUCGAGCAGCUCAACCGGGGGAACCUGCGGGGUCGGGACUGGGAGGACGUGGCCGGCGCCGUGACCGACGGGCAGGGCAAGACUACCGGGGGCAAGAGCGUGGAGCAAUGUAAGAACAAGAUCGACAACCUUAAGAAGCGCUACAAGGUGGAGUGCCAGCGGCUCGCCAGCUCCAGCGGCGGCGCUGUCAGCCACUGGCCCUGGUUCAAAAAGAUGGAGCAGAUCGUCGGAAACUCUGCGUCUCCUGCCUCCUCCAAGCCGCUUGCCACAGCCGAGGAUGAAAAACCGAGUCAGCAGCAGCAGCAGCAGCAUGGCAGCAAAAGGUGGUCCAUUUUCACAUCUUUGUUUGAUUAAUUUGGAGAUCCACUGGUCUCGGCUAAUGUUUAUCACUGUAGGUAUCCUCUUUCCAGCGCUGGCCCUAUUACGGUGGUUGGUAGCUCCAGAGUGAACCCUCUUUCAAAUCCAAGAUGGAAGAGGGUGCUUCUGAAGAUUGGGGGCACUGCCUUGGCAGGACCAGCUCCUCAAAACGUUGACCCCAAGGUAGUAUAAAUUAGCUGCUGGUACUACAUCUGGUUUGAUGCUGUCCUGAAUCCUGAUUGUUUCAUACUAAAACUUGUCAUCUUGUCAGAUCAUUAUGCUGAUUGCUAGAGAAGUUCAAGUGGCAUGUCAUCAUGGUGUGGAGGUAAAUAGAGAGCAUCCAUACGAGAGGUUUGUUUUUCUGAUAUGAGGCAACACUUGUCAAUAUUGCCUUCAAUCCUAUCAGGUGGCAAUUGUGGUAGGAGGACGGAAUAUAUUCUGCGGUGACAAUUGGGUAGCUGCAACUGGCACCGAUCGAGCUUCAACAUACCCAAUCGGGUAAUUUUCUGCCAUUAUUAUUUCCUUUUUUUAUCUUUGUCCUUCUCCUUCUGCUUUUACAUUUUAUCCUAGUGAGGAUAAUGAUGAGCUAAGCAGCACACAUAUCCUUGUCAUCAGGAUACGGAUACAAUGCGAUGUUUUUUUCCAAUUCACCACCACAUAUGUUUUUGUAUUUUUUUAAAAAAUAAAUAGAUGAUAAAGCAUAUUUUUAUUCUCAACAAUAAAACAUGAACUGUUCACUGCAUGCAGAUAGCAAUCUGCUUAAAUUAGAUUGCAUAACAUAGCAGUCUCAAAGUUAUAAAGUACUAACAGUAGUGUUUGACAAAAACAAAAUAGCUAAUAAAGUGGGAACAGUGAAUGAUAGGACUAUGGGAGGGGAUGGGGAAAGGGAACGAAUGGUCACCGUGUGUUGCUGGCAGCUGCUGCCUUCUUGAGCUUGUCUGGCAGAUCUACUCACAGGCAGCGGGCGGACGGGUGCACGGUCGGGCAAGCAGUGGUUUGAACUUCUGGGAGUCGUUGAUGUGCAUCACCUAGUGUUCCAGGGGUCAUACUUAAUGGGCCAAUCUGUGUCACUGGGAUGUAUCCUAACGGGCCAAUACGUAUUGGCCUACGUAUCUAUUAUUCAUUUAUUUAUUUUAAAAUCGGAU